AUUGAACGCUGGCGGCAGGCCUAACACAUGCCAGUCGAGCGGAGCGGCGGACGGGUGAGUAAUGCCUAGGAAUCUGCCUGGUAGUGGAGGAUAACGUCCGGAAACGGGCGCUAAUACCGCAUACUAUCAGAUGAGCCUAUGUCGGAUAAGCUAGUUGGUGGGGUAAAGGCCGACCAAGGCGACGAUCCGUAACUGGUCUGAGAGGAUGAUCAGUAACACGUGAGUAGAGACACGGGCCAGACUCCUCCGGGUGGCAGCAUUGGGGAAUAUUGGACAUAGUGAGAAAGCCUGAUCCAGCCAUGCCGCGUUUGUGAAGAAGGUCUUCGGAUUGUAAAGCACGUUAAGUUGGGAGGCGUUACCAACAGAAUAAGCACCAGCUAACUUCGUGCCAGCAGCCGCGGUAAUUC
rnacentral:rRNA from 1 species